GUCAUGAAAUAGUAUAUUAUGGUACACUCAUCAUGAUAAAUCACGGCUCAGCUUUUGGCGUAAUGCAGCGUCUUCCGGUGAGAUGCUGCGUUGAACAUUCAUUCAAACGCACAUCCCUGGUAGGUUACUCUUUUUUCAGUAAAAGACACCUGAUGUCAGAAGUGGGAUUCGAACCCACGCCUCCAGAGGAGACUGCGACCUGAACGCAGCGCCUUAGACCGCUCGGCCAUCCUGACUGAAAAAGUGCCAUGUUUGAUUGAAUUUUUUUUUAGAUAUCAUGAUACAGCACAUUAAAUAUGUCAUGAAAUAGUAUAUUAUGGUACACUCUUCCAUGAUAUAUCAUGGCUCAACUUUUGGCAUAAUGCAGCGUCAUCCGGUGAGGUACUGUGUUGAACAUUCAUGCAAUCGCACAUCCCUGGUAGAUCACUUUGUAACAUCAAGGCCAUAUUUAUACUGUUUACUUCGCAACCAUUGUGACGAAACAUGAAAUAGUUGCUGCCGUAAUAAAGUUCCAGGGUUGUAAAAUCCUGUCUGUGAGUAUUAGAAACUGUUGUGGAGGUGUUUUGUCAUCUGAUAAACCUUUCAAAGCAUAAAUCUGUUACUCCAACAUGAUGUCUUGGAUCAGAUAUCAUGCCGUUGCUCUCACCAACACAGCCUCCUGUGUUGUUUUUAAACAGAAAUGGUGAUUGGACACUGGCCCCACCGGCAUCCGACGUCGGAAAGCUGCGGGAGGAGAUGGUUUCUGAAGCUAGUCGACAGUCCGACCAGAACUUCUGAUGCAGUAUACUUGUCCCUUAAUGAUGAGCACUGUAGACUCUAACUGCAACAAACUGGGUUCAAAUCUCAUUGAACCCUCAUUUUUAUGAUCAGGUCCCACCGAGAUUUGAACUCGGAUCGCUGGAUUCAGAGUCCAGAGUGCGCUUCAUCACACCAUGGAACCACUGCAACGUUGACACCCUACACAGUAAAAGACACCUGAUGUCAGAAGUGGGAUUCGAACCCACGCCUCCAGAGGAGACUGCGA